rnacentral:lncRNA from 1 species
UCCUGAGGCCUCCCCAGCCAUGCUUCCUGUACAGCCCAUGUAACUGGCAGCGCCAGCCAAGUCAUGUCCCACAUGAAGUCCUACCACUGCCACUGGUCAUCCUUGCUGCUGCUCAUCACCAGCUUCUAACCAAGCUGCUCCUCCAAGAAGCCCACCAUCUUGGCCCACCACAACCCCAACGCACAAGCAGAAUAUUAUCUUAAUGGUGGCGCUCCAUGGUUUCUUCAGCUGUGGAAGAGUGAAGGACAAAUUUCAUCUAAAGCACUACUCACACUGUACUUACUGCACAAAAGAGGCCAAAUUGGCAUGGCUUUCGACUAUCUCUGCAAAAUCCAUUUGGAUCCAUUUCUGCAACUGUGAUCUACUAUCAACCUGGGGGGCAAAGGAGAAAUCAGCCCCAGGAGCGUGGAAACCACUAUACUUAAAACUAUAUCCUUUGCUUAUUUAUUUCAAGUAAAAGGCCACACAGACACAGAAAAUUAGAAGGCUCGUGAAAUAAGAUUUAAGUUCCAUUCUGGUUACAGGGUCCUCCCUGAUGUUCAAUCCUAGAGGCUAUACCUCCCACUCUUGAAGAAUUUCCAAACCUUCCAGGCCCAGGAGAGUUUUCCAUGUUGAAAGAUUGCAGGAUGGGACCCCAUAACAAUCCCCCAAAAGUUCAGGCUGAAAUUACAUGCAGGCCAAGUCUGUAUGAUGCAGCCCUCUGUAAUUGUUGGGUCUCUUCCAGAAGGCUCUCAACACAUGGGACUCCGAUGAAGUUCAGCAUGUGGAAAGGGCUGAAGCUUGAAGCCUGUGUAUUUGUAAUGGAAACACAGCAGUGACCCCAUGAUCCAGUGCCUUGUGAAGAAGAUGCAUGCUUCCCUUUCUGCCAUGAUUGAAAGUUUCCUGAGGCCUCCCCAGCCUUGCAGAACUGAAAAAGAAGAAUUCUUUAAUUGAAAAAUAGGCAAAGAAUACAAAGAGGCAAAUUACAAAAGGAAAAUAAAC